rnacentral:rRNA from 1 species
GGAUGCGAUCAUACCAGCACUAAAGCACCGGAUCCCAUCAGAACUCCGAAGUUAAGCAUGCUUGGGCGAGAGUAGUACUAGAAUGGGUGACCUCCUGGGAAGUCCUCGUGUUGCAUUUC